rnacentral:rRNA from 1 species
ACGAGAAAGUGGAGCAAUCCAUGAGUAAAGUGGCGUACGGGUGAGUAACACGUGGAUAAUCUGCCCUUUAGUGGGGAAUACCGUUGGGAAACCGACGACAAUACCGCAUAAUCCCGAGAGGGGAAAGCAGCAAUGCGCUGAAGGAGGAGUCCGCGGUCGAUUAGCUAGUUGGCGGGGUAAAAGCCCACCAAGGCUGUGAUCGAUAGCCGGCCUGAGAGGGCGCACGGCCACACUGGCACUGAAACACGGGCCAGACUCCUACGGGAGGCAGCAGUGGGGAAUCUUGCACAAUGGGGGAAACCCUGAUGCAGCGACGCCGCGUGAGCGAUGAAGCCCUUCGGGGUGUAAAGCUCUUUCGGCAGGGACGAUAAUGACGGUACCUGCAGAAGCAGCUGCGGCUAACUACGUGCCAGCAGCCGCGGUAAUACGUAGGCAGCAAGCGUUGUUCGGAGUUACUGGGCGUAAAGGGUGCGUAGGCGGUCCUAUAAGUAUGGUGUGAAAUCUAUGGGCUCAACUCAUAGACUGCAUGAGAAACUGCCGGGCUCGAGUGUGGGAGAGGUGAGUGGAAUUUCCGGUGUAGCGGUGAAAUGCGUAGAUAUCGGAAGGAACACCUGUGGCGAAAGCGGCUCACUGGACCACAACUGACGCUGAUGCACGAAAGCUAGGGGAGCAAACAGGAUUAGAUACCCUGGUAGUCCUAGCCCUAAACGAUGACUGCUUGGUGUGACGGGUAC